rnacentral:rRNA from 1 species
GGGGAAUAUUGGGCAAUGGACGCAAGUCUGACCCAGCAACGCCCCGUGAAGGAAGAAGGCUUUCGGGUUGUAAACUUCUUUUAAGGGGGAAGAGUAGAAGACGGUACCCCUUGAAUAAGCCACGGCUAACUACGUGCCAGCAGCCGCGGUAAUACGGAGGGUGCAAGCGUUAAUCGGAAUUACUGGGUGUAAAGGGUGCGUAGGCGGCACUGCAAGUCAGGCGUGAAAUAUAUGGGCUUAACCCAUAGACUGCGUUUGAAACUGUGGUGCUUGAGUGAAGUAGAGGUAGGCGGAAUUCCCGGUGUAGCGGUGAAAUGCGUAGAGAUCGGGAGGAACACCAGUGGCGAAGGCGGCUUACUGGGCUUUAACUGACGCUGAGGCACGAAAGCAUGGGUAGCAAACA